UCUAAAUUCUAUAGGUACAAAAAGGACCCGACCCGUUUUCUUCUGAUUUUCUGGGUUCUUACUUCUUCUUCUUGUUCUACUAUAUUACUGUAUCCUUUUUUAAAUCCAAAUUCAUGCGUUUUUUUCUCUCUGUUACAAGGAUUUUCAGGUAUGGGGAUUAUAAAAGACGGUUCAGUGUCAGGAAUAUUACCGACUAACGAGGUCUUUGCUGUUCAUUACCCUGCUUACCCUUCUUCAGUAGAUCGUGCUGUUGAGACACUUGGUGGCAUUCAAGGUAUUGUCAAGGCUCGAACUUCACAGUCCAAUAAGUUGGAGCUCCAUUUCCGGCCAGAAGAUCCAUAUUCACACCCUACUUUCGGGGAGCUUAAGCAUAGCAAUAACUUCUUGUUGAAAAUAUCCAAGUGUAAAGUAAGGGAUGUCCGAUCUACUGACUCUGCUGACAGUAGCUGUGGAAUAGCGAUACAAUCUUCAAGGAGUCUUGUUAAUUGUGAACAAGAAAAUGCUGCACCGAAGUCAAACGAGUCUAGAUGUUUAUCUGCUGAUGCUUCAAAAGAAAUUGAAAUGCAGACAGCUACUAAUUUGCAGGAGCAUCUCUCAGCUAAUAUUGUUUCUCAUGUUUCUGAAGCUUAUCAUUUUAAUGGAAUGGUAGACUAUCAGCAUGUUCUCGCUGUUCAUGCUGAUGAUGCAAGAAGGAAAAAGAGACAGUGGGCAGAGGUGGAACCUAAAUUUGAGAAGGGAGGUCUUAUGGAUGUUGAUCAGGAGGAUAUGAUGAUAUUACUACCCUCUCUGUUUGCCUCAAAAGAUAUGCCUGAUAAUAUUGUAUUAAAAUCUUGUACAACUGUGGGCUCGAAAAGAAAACAAGAGGGACGACACAAUUGGGAGAGGGAAAUGGAGCCGAGCCUUGCAAUUGAUUUUGCUAUCAAAGAGAUUCCAAAGCCAGUGGACUGGGAAAAGUACAUUCCUCAGGGCUCAGAUCGUUGGAGAUGGCAGAAGGCAGUAUCUGAAUUGUUUGAAGAGCGUAAAAUUUGGGCCAAAGAGUCAUUAGCUGAGCGCUUACAUGAUAGGGGUCUGAAAUUUCGAGAUAACAUGCUAAAAAGACUUCUUUGUGGAGUAGCAUAUUACUUUUUGAAUGGGCCUUUCCGUAGAUUCUGGAUAAAAAAAGGUUAUGAUCCUCGGAAGGAUCCGGAAUCCCGCAUAUACCAGAAUAUUGAUUUCCGAGUGCACCAUGAAUUACGAAGCUACUGUGAGAGCCGUUCGUCAUCUGGAUUGCAACAUAGAUGGGAUGACAUAUGUGCCUUCCGUGUUUUUCCGUGUAAAUGUCAGCUAGCAUUGCAGCUUUGUGAACUCAAGGAUGACUACAUUCAACAAGAAAUCAGUAAACCUUCAAAGGAAGAAACUUGCAAUAAUGUAACAGGAUGGUUCUCCUUUCAUACUAUUGAUUGCUUGAGACGUCGUAUUGAUGUGAGAUUUAUGUCAGUAUGCCCUCAUCCGCGUGCUGAGUCUUUACUAAAUUCUAUGUCCACCCGCUUUGAGAAGUCAAAGAGGACUCAUACGUAUGUGAAAGUUGCAAGACCGGAAGAGCAAGAAAAAACCAAUAAAGAUGCGGAAAACAAUGAAGUUGAUGAACAAGCAGAAAACCAUGAUGUUGAUGAACCUGAUGAUUUAGAAGAUUAUGAAGAUGAGUUCGAUGAUGAUAAUGUUGAAGAGGAGAUGGAUGCAUAUGAAUCUCUUGACCUCGCUGUCCAGGAAGGGAAUGUCUCUCUACAUGAUGAUCCACAUACAAACCACGAUAAUGUUUCAAGAGAUUACUUGCAAGAGCUUUUUGGCAAUUUUCCAUCAAAUACAGCCGGGAUGGAUGAAGUGCAAGAUGAUCAAAGUCUUGGAGAAUAUCAGAUAUAUGACCAAUACAACGAUGACUCUUAUUCCGAAGAUGAAGACUACUAAAACAUCAUGCUAAUUAGUGAUGGAGUGAAGAACUGCUGCUGCAGAAAAGGGUGGGAAUGAAGCAUUUACCUGACCUCAAGUCUACAGGGAAAAAGCUUAGUGUUGAGCUCCCCGAGAGUAAGUUCUCCGCCUACCUUCGGCCUUCUUGGAUUUCGUAUCAAGUCCUUGUGACUUGAGAUAAGUUGUGAUAUCAUCGUCUGAAAUGUCUGCAUCGGGGUAAAGUGUAACUUGACACCCCUGUCUCUCCUUGAAAAACGUAUACGGGAGUCCUCCAAAUGCAGGGGAGGUAAUGCCUCUAGACCAGUUACUGUCUUGCUUUACGCUAUAGAACUGCAACCUUACAUGGAUUUUUGAAUGACCACUUAUCGGAUGUCUCUCUUCAUCUACUAUAGGUACCCAUCUAUCGACUAUAUAUCGAUUCAAGACUUCCUCAACAGGUAGAUAAGCUCUUCCAAUUAGUGUUGCACUAACAGGAUUCUCAUCUUUUACUGUAAAUAUGAUGUUAGAAACCUCAUGAGCACAGUAUAAUCGAAAUGUGUCAUUCCAAUGA